rnacentral:rRNA from 1 species
GAUGAACGCUGGCGGCGUGCUUAACACAUGCAAGUCGAACGGUGAAGCAGAGCUUGCUCUGUGGAUCAGUGGCGAACGGGUGAGUAACACGUGAGCAACCUGCCCCGGACUCUGGGAUAAGCGCUGGAAACGGCGUCUAAUACCGGAUACGAGAUUCCACCGCAUGGUGAGUUUCUGGAAAGAUUUUUUGGUCUGGGAUGGGCUCACGGCCUAUCAGCUUGUUGGUGAGGUAAUGGCUCAACAAGGCGUCGACGGGUAGCCGGCCUGAGAGGGUGACCGGCCACACUGGGACUGAGACACGGCCCAGACUCCUACGGGAGGCAGCAGUGGGGAAUAUUGCACAAUGGGCGGAAGCCUGAUGCAGCAACGCCGCGUGAGGGAUGACGGCCUUCGGGUUGUAAACCUCUUUUAGCAGGGAAGAAGCGAAAGUGACGGUACCUGCAGAAAAAGCGCCGGCUAACUACGUGCCAGCCGCCGCCGUAAUAC